rnacentral:rRNA from 1 species
AUUGAACGCUGGCGGCAGGCCUAACACAUGAAAGUCGAACGAGUGGCGGACGGGUGAGUAAUGUCUGGGAACCUGACUGAUGGAGGGGGAUACCUACUGUAAACGGUAGCCAAUACCGCAUGCCAACGGAUGUGCCCAGAUGGGAUGCGCGAGUAGGUGGGGUAAAGGCUCACCUAGGAGACGAUCCCUAGCUGGUCUGAGAGGAUGACCAGCCACACUGGAACUGAGACACGGUCCAGACUCCUACGUGAGGCAUCAGUGGGUAAUAUUGCACAAUGGGCGCAAGCCUGAUGCAGCCAUGCCGCGUGUAUGAAGAAGGCCUUCGGGUUGUAAAGUACUUUCAGCGGGGAGGCGUUAUCCGCAGAAGAAGCACCGGCUAACUCCGUGCCAGCAGCCGCGGUAAUUC